CGCCCCCAGUCCCCCUAUCUCGGAGCCACCCUCCUGGGCCUACAGGCGCCGCGGGGCCAGGGACUGGGCGCGGAUCGAGGCGGGGAGGGACCUGGAAAAACCACCCAGAUUGCAUUGCAGUGGGUGAGGCAGCCCGGAGAGCCGGUUCUCCUGAGCCACCUCCCUGCGGGGCUUUUUCGGUGCGCUGUUCCCAGGUGCUCUAUCCUACCUGGGCCAGGGAGUGCCGCCUCGCAGGGACGCGGGACCCGCUGCGUGGCCCCGAGGAGCGGCCCCGAGCGCGCGCGGCGGCUGCCCGGAGGCCCAAGGCCCGGCGUGCGACUGUUGCUGCGAAUGGUUAGAACAGCUCAGGAAGUCGCGCCCCGCCGUCCUUUUUGGCGCCUGGUGUUCGGAUUAAUCAUUUGUAUAGCGCGUUUGGAUAAACUGAGAACUUUAUGAGCGCGUUUGCCAGGGAUUCUGCAGCGUCAUCCGUGUUAGAAUCGAAUCUCAGAGCUCCCCCUUUUCACAGAGGCUUGCCUUUUCUUUUUUAAGGAAGUCGGAUCCCUGGUGUCUGAUUUUUUUAAAUUUAAAGUUUAAUCUGCCUAACUAGGUUACACGGACAGGAUUUUUUUGUUUUAUUUUGUUUUCUAAUGUAUUCCCAGGGCUUGGAACAGAGCCAGAAAUAUACUAGGCAUUCAACAAAUAUUUGUUGAAUGAUUUUAGUGAGUAACACCCAACCAUUUUUGUAGUUCUUUGUCUCCUGAGCUGGGCAGAGUUCAUCACCGCAAAGUUCAGUCAAAAGCUACCAGGGAAGUUGCUCCAAUUGGAACAAAACAGGAGGAAAGUGGUUUCAUCUUUGGCUACCACAACCAGCUCUGCCCAGUCUGGAAAUCCUGCUUUAAAAGCCUAACGUGUGGGGCCAGCCUGGUGGCGCAGUGGUUACAACUAAGUGGACAUUCAUUAACCAAUAGAGGAUUCCCUACCCAGCACAACAGGAUGCCUAAAAGAUCUGUGCAGCCAUACAGCUGAAGGAUCCAAUCUGGAAUAUCACAUUGCAUGUAAAACAAGUAUUUUUUUGGCCAAGAUAUUCUAGAGGAUGCAAAAAUAACCCCCCGGUACAUAGUUGUGUAUUCUUCGCUGUGGGUUCCUCCAGUUGUGGCAUGUGGGACGCUGCCUCAGCGUGGUCUGACGAGCAGUGCCAUGUCCGCGCCCAGGAUUCGAACCGACGAAACACUGGGCCGCCUGCAGCGGAGCGCGAGAACCCAACCACUCGGCCACGGGGCCAGCCCCUCUUCUUUCUUCUUAUAAGGCCAAUCCUGUUGAAUUACGACUCUACCCUAUGACCUCAUUUAACCUUAAUUAUCUCCUAAAAGCCUGUCUCCUAAUACAAUAACAUUGGAGGUUAGGCCUUCAACAUAUGAAUUCUGGGAGUACACAAAUCCACUCACAGCAGUGGAGCGUGAGCUGGAUGGGUGUGCACUACGCACUUUAGAGAUUUUGUAGACCACAGAGUCCAGCUGUAUGUACUCUCUACUGUAUGUCUCAAUUGUUGUAUUAAAUCUUUGGUAAAAACUUUGUGGUAAAUUGCAAACUUAACUGUACAAGAGAGCAAACAAGUUGAAAUUUUAUUAUUUUUGCAAUAAUGGAGUGUACUGUCUGUAUUUCUAAACCCAAAAUAAAAUUGACUAAACGUGGUCUGAUUUUCAUUAUCACUAUGUGCCAGUAAUUCUAAACAAUGUAAGCAACAAACUACCACUCUAAAAAAUCUCGUAAGUUCUAAAGACUUGCUACAGUUACUGUUGAGAGAUUUAACAGCUUCA
rnacentral:lncRNA from 1 species